ACCAAUAUACACAGCAAAAAGGAAAAAAAAUUCAGCAACCAAAACAAGACCCCCACACAUACAGAAGAAAAAAAGAGGAACCAAAAGAAGAAAAAACUUUCACAUUUUAUUUUAUUUUCCUUUUAAAAAUUCACCAACACAUUCACAUCUUUUCUUCCUUUUUCAUUACUACUUUAUCUAAACAUCACACGUAUACCAUCA
rnacentral:lncRNA from 1 species